rnacentral:lncRNA from 1 species
GCCAGGAUAGCUUUUGUCUGCUUUCUCCUGGUGAAGAAGACAAACCAGGUAGUCCCUUGUUGUUCACCUUUGCUUUGGAUUCAGACAUUUACCACAAUUCAGGAUUUUCUGAACUGCAAACAGCAUUGCCUGUCAGGACAAAGAAAACUCCAGAAUGAAGGCACCUUAGCACGUUUCAUGUGGAGAGAGAAGUUACUACGGAAGGAGGCAUGCACGCUAUUUAAGACAUGUCUCACCAUCUGACUCAAUUCAGUCGCCUGAUCAGAAAUGUCAAGUGCUAUUUAA